CUACGGCCAUAUCACCCUGAACGCGCCCGAUCUCGUCUGAUCUCGGAAGCUAAGCAGGGUCGGGCCUGGUUAGUACUUGGAUGGGAGAAGUGGAAAAACUGAAGAGAGAAAAGAAGGAGCAGCGUGGU
rnacentral:rRNA from 1 species